AAGUCGUAACAAGGUUUCCGUAGGUGAACCUGCGGAAGGAUCAUUAUUGAUUUCCCUUGGGGAUGUCUCUGUGAACUGCAACAUGCUCUUUAUUUUUUUGGUUGAUUACACAACUUUCAGCAAUGGAUCUCUAGGCUCUU
rnacentral:misc_RNA from 1 species